GGACUUUUUUGUUAAAUAACCCAGAUGAAGUUGUUGAGCCACUUCUCUUCUUGUGCCGGAAGCUGGUCAGUGGCUGAUCAGAAAUAAUCGCACAAAAAGAAUUUAUAAAGAAUUGAGUUGAUUUGUGAUAGUGAAGGUUUUUUUUUUACUUAUUACAUUUUUAAGUUUGUGUUAAUAUUUGUAUAGUUGUUAGUGAAAGGAAUUGUAGCAUUUUGUCUUAAAUUAUCUUAGAAACAAAUUAUGAACUUAAGUAAUUUUUUUGUACUGGUAAAAAGUAAAAAGUAAAAUUUGGUUACUGUAAUGUGAUUCUUAAAUUAUUGAUCUUACAGUUCUUAGAUGCUUCUUGCAUUAUCAGUAACUAUGUACUAAUAUUGAUAGAGAUCAGUACUAUGUAUUGUUCAUAUUCAAGUAUAACCAUUGAAUGAUAGCUGAACAAUAACUAACUCUCAUAAUGGUUUAAUGUGUGAGAUACUUACCAUCUUACACACACAUUAUAUAUAUUUUAUGAUGUCUUUUCAAAUUAGAUUAGUUGCUGAAUUAUACCUUCAUUUAAGGGACCACUUGAGUCUGGAAACUAUCAAAUAAAAUUUUAGAAAUUCUAAAUUAACAAAUUUACUUUGAUAAUAGUAUAUAUGAGUUGAAUGAAUUAUUUUCAGUAUUAGUAAAUUAGUAUUAGUAUAUUUCAUUAUACCUGUUUCCUAUAGUUAUUAAAUAGAUGCCAUUUGUAGGAAUUUUUCAUAAUUCACUAGCGUGAGUUUUUGAAUAAUAUUUUUUAAAGUUCAUGAAUUUUAAAUACUUAGGUUGACUCAUUGUGUAAUUUUCUUUCUUGGUAUUUAAUGUUUGUAUUUUCAAUGCACAUACUUAAAAUUAUGUUGAGAAUUGUUGCUUACACUUUCAAUUAUCUUGUUAUUGAGUUAGUCCAGUGAUGGCAGUUGAAUUCAAACUGAGGUAUCAAUAUAGAAAGCAUAAGCAUGCAUAAGACAGAGUGAGGUGGCUAAAUGAAGUGACCUUUUCCUUUCAUUCUGACCCAAAAUUUAAAGUCAAUUAAAAUUUUAAAGUCAAUUUAAAAUUUUAUACUCAAUGUGAAGUAGUUGUUUUUUACAUUAGCAUCAUCAU
rnacentral:lncRNA from 1 species